CAUUUCUUGCUUUACUAUAUAUAAGUGUUGUAUAUACAUAGAUAUUGCUUGAUUGUGCCUGGAUAACGGUUUUAACCGUUCAUUUUCUAUAAAUAGUCGAUAUUUAUCAAUGUAUUGACUAGAUCUAUACUAGAUCUAGCCAGAUCUAGCUUUUAAUCGGAUCAAAAGUUGUAAAACUUAAACCUUGAAGAUAAAAUGAGUAAGAUCUGG
rnacentral:lncRNA from 1 species